rnacentral:rRNA from 1 species
UACGUAGGGUGCGAGCGUUGUCCGGAAUUACUGGGCGUAAAGCGCUCGUAGGUGGUUUGUCGCGUUGUCCGUGAAAACUCACAGCUCAACUGUGGGCGUGCGGGCGAUACGGGCAGACUGGAGUACUGCAGGGGAGACUGGAAUUCCUGGUGUAGCGGUGGAAUGCGCAGAUAUCAGGAGGAACACCGGUGGCGAAGGCGGGUCUCUGGGCAGUAACUGACGCUGAGGAGCGAAAGCGUGGGGAGCGAACAGG